rnacentral:tRNA from 1 species
GGAAGGUCACAACCCCGCACUCGAAAUGCGGCGUGGGGGCAACUCCAUCGUGGGUUCGAAUCCCACCCUCUCCGCCA